AGCCACAGUCAUAUCACCCUGCAGCCCAAGACUGGUUACUCACUGAAGCUAAAGAGGGCUGAGCCUGGACAGUACCUGGAUGUGAGAUCACAUGGGAAAACUAGGUAGCUGUUGGAA
ensembl:rRNA 5S_rRNA 5S ribosomal RNA